rnacentral:rRNA from 1 species
GCAUAUCAAUAAGCGGAGGAAAAGAAACUAACAAGAUUCCCCUAGUAACGGCGAGUGAAGCGGGAUGAGCUCAAAUUUAAAAUCUGGCUGGUUUACUAGUCCGAAUUGUAGUUUAAAGAAGCGUUUUCGGUGGCAGCCUGGGUAUAAAUCCUUUGGAACAGGGUAUCAUAGAGGGUGAGAAUCCCGUCUUUGACUCAGUGCAUGCUACUAUGUGAUACGUUUUCAAAGAGUCGAGUUGUUUGGGAAUGCAGCUCAAAAUGGGUGGUAAAUUUCAUCUAAGGCUAAAUAUUGGCGAGAGACCGAUAGCGAACAAGUACCGUGAGGGAAAGAUGAAAAGAACUUUGAAAAGAGAGUUAAACAGUGCGUGAAAUUGUUGAAAGGGAAACGCUUGACACCAGUCAUGCGAGCGGAAAAUCAGUCUUUUGCAGUGGGGAGUUGUGUGGGUUCGGACCGCAAGGCCGGCCUGUGCUGCAUCUCUGCUGUAAGUGAUGCACUUUUUCGUUUGCAGGCCAACAUCAGUUUCUUCUGCUGGACAAAACUCUUGAGAAGGUAGCAGCUUUGGCUGUGUUAUAGCUCUUGAGCGAUACAGUGGAGGGGACUGAGGUUUUCGCAGCGCGUGCUCUCGGGCAAGGCUGAUUGGGUGCUAUGGGAUCGUUCGGUGUACAAUGCAUGCAUUUUGCGCCGUGUCUUUUCUAUACUCGCUCAACUCGGCUCUUCCGCGCUUAGGAUGUUGGCUUAAUGGUUUUAAUCGACCCGUCUUGAAACACGGACCAAGGAGUCUAACAUAUAUGCAAGUGUUUGGGUGGCAAACCCAUGCGCGUAAUGAAAGUGAACGUAGGUGCGAUCCGCAAGGUGCAGCAUCGACCGAUCUUGAUAUUUUUGGAUAGAUUUGAGUAAGAGCAUAUAUGCUGGGACCCGAAAGAUGGUGAACUAUGCCUGAAUAGGGUGAAGCCAGAGGAAACUCUGGUGGAGGCUCGUAGCGAUUCUGACGUGCAAAUCGAUCGUCAAAUUUGGGUAUAGGGGCGAAAGACUAAUCGAACCAUCUAGUAGCUGGUUCCUGC